ACUGCAGCCUCUACCGUAUGGACGAUCUUGGCCAUGAUCGCUUUAAUCCUUGGCGGUGGUACGAUAUUAAUCUUCUUCUGUGCGCCUUGUGUUACUAGGAGCAGAACGUGAGGCACGUUGUGUCGAUAAUCGUCCCAAAAUUCAUCAGAUGAAAUAUGUCUGUCCUUUGGCUCGUGGACUUGAGCUAGAAAGUAUUUUAAGAUUUCAUUUACAUAAUUAAUCUAAGCGCGAUAUUCCUGGUCGACUGUAACCUUUCAUACUUAUAAGCGAAAUUACAGAAAGAAAAGAAUAAAUCUUUUAACAAGGAGGGUGGUGAAAUUAAAGAAAAUUCGUAGUGUCCGUGUAAAGAUACCAGAAUAAGUUGUAAAGUCGCAGCGCGACCUUAGAUCUUCCAUAAUUUUACCUAACUAUUUGAAUCAAUCUUACCCGACGAUAUGUGAAAGUUGUGUAAAAGAAAAAUUAGAUAUAAGAAUGGUUUAAAAUUGUCUGGACAAACCUCUGGUAAAAAUUAUUUUUUCUAAAGAAAUGGAGGAUAAAUUUGACAAUUUUGUUAGAAGCAACCAUUCGACAAUACGGCGUACAGAUAUAAUCUUGCGUAGUUUCUUAACCACGAUGACGAAAACAUUUCAUGGAAACGAAUUGGUUUACUCUUGGGGAAAUCGAAUUUAAUUGUCACUCGAUUAGAACUUUGCUCAAAUGUACGAAUGAGUUUCUGAACGUUAUAUCGAAGCCAUGUAAAGGAUUACUUUUAUAUGUGACGAAAUAAAUUUUUAGUAAAUUAGAA